rnacentral:rRNA from 1 species
UUUGCCUACGGGAGGCAGCAGUGGGGAAUAUUGGGCAAUGGGCGCAAGCCUUACCCAGCAAUACCGCGUGAGUGAAGAAGGUCUUCGGAUUGUAAAGCUCUUUGAUCAGGGACGAACAGAUGACGGUACCUGAAGAACAAGCCCCGGCUAACUACGUGCCAGCAGCCGCGGUAAAACGUAGGGGGCGAGCGUUGUCCGGAAUGACUGGGCGUAAAGGGAGCGUAGACGGUGAUGCAAGUCUGGAGUGAAAGGCGGGGGCCCAACCCCCGGACUGCUCUGGAAACUGUAUGACUUGAGUGCAGGAG